rnacentral:lncRNA from 1 species
ACUGCAUUCGGGAGAUAGGGUGAGGGGAAGGAGCCGGCCUGGUGGGUUCUCAUUUCCUCUCUGCAAAGCACACAAUGCCAGGGGGACCGGCCCCUCUUCCUUUGGGCGCUCAGCUUCCCGCUUUUGGGUUGUGUCUACACUUGGCAAAUAAAGCACCGGAUUGUGAAUCAGGGACUCUCAGCUGCCAAUGCUAACACUGCCAAAGCUAAUAACACAACAACAACAACAACAACAGAAGCAGCAGCAGCAUCAACAAAACCCAGAACACCGGUUUCUGAAACCAGCAAAGUAUUUGCAAAAUGCAAGAUUGUAAUUAAGUGAAAAGCAAAAUGCAAGAUUGUAAUUAAGUGAAAAGGUAAGAUUUGCACUGUUUUAAGCAGCUCUAAAAGAAAUGAGUCUCUUUAAGGUGGAAGCAGCUUUAAGAAGGAAGACUGAAUUGGAAGCUCCCAGGCUCCAUGCAGUUCUAGAAUGCUGUGAUUUUAUGAAUUCUAAGUCUGAGGACCCUGUGAAAAAGUCAGGAAGAACAGUCUAUGAUUUUACAGAAGUGAUGAGUUGAACAAAAAGCUAAAGGCUCCUUGUAUUUGGAAAAACAGGGACCAUUGCUAUCAUUAUUAACAAAUGUUUGCAUCACAGGGCAUUUCCUUUGUCCAGUGGUACAUGGAGACACUUGAAAUUUUUUGCAUUUUUUUUUGGAAAGGAAGAGAGAAAAAAUUAUAGCAAUUAUGGUAAGCAGUGUCCUGAAGUUCUGCCGAUCAACUGAUAUUAUGACGUUGUGGCCCAUAAUUUGGAGGUUGCCAACUCGAGACUUUAGUUAUGACCAUGACGUAAGGAUUCUAGAAACUCCUGAGAGGGCUCUUAAAUCCCUCUCUCCUUGCAGAAUCCAACACUGAAGUUGGACCAACAUUGAUUGAGUUCCUACUGUAUGUCCGGGACUGUGCCAGGAGCAAGGGGUCACAGCGCUAUGGAUUACAUAAACAUUUAUAAACGGAAAUGCUCCCCAAAGAAUAUGAUGAUGAAAAAGACUUGGCUCCUGGCUUUGAGAGGCUUCUAAGUGUGUAAACUGAUAAUUUAAAAUAUGAUGGGCUGUCUCACUGCAAAGCAAUGAUAAAAGCAUGAGGUGCUGGAUAUGCUAACUACCCUGAUUUAAUCAUUAUACAACGCAUGUAUGUAUUGAAACAUCAAACUUUACCCAUAAAAUGUAUAAUUACAAUGUGUCAAUUUAAAACAAUUUAAGAAAUAGAACGGUUUGAAAUGCUUUGCUACUGGAGCAUAGCAGGGUGAUGGAGGGGCGUCAGGGAGAUCUUCCUGGGACACCUACACUGACUCUGGGGUGUAACGGGGCUGUGUUCCUGGGCGGGCUUAGACUGUUUCUCUAAUUAUGACAGCUUUCUCCUUCUUGCUGUAGUUUUGUCUUUUCAAGAAUGUCAUAUGAAUAUUUGAUAUGAUUUGGAUGUUGUCCCCUAAAAACCUCAUGUUGAAGUGCAAUCCGCAGUGUUAAAAGUGGAGACUGGUGGGCAGUGUUUGGGUCACAGGGGCGGAUCCCUCAUGGCUUGGUGAUGUUUUUUCGAUAGUGAGUUCUCCCGAGAUCUGGUUGAAGAAAAAUGUGUGGCACCUCCCUUCUCCCUCUCUCUCUUCCUUCCACUCUUGCCAUGUAAGACACCAGCCCCCCUUUCAUCUUCUGCCAUGAUUGUAAGCUUCCUGAGGCCUCCCCAGAAGCUGAGCAGGUGCUGCCACCAUGCUUCCAAUAGCAUUGCAGAACCAUGAACC